rnacentral:rRNA from 1 species
CAUGCAAGUCGAACGGCAGCAUGAUCUAGCUUGCUAGAUUGAUGGCGAGUGGCGAACGGGUGAGUAAUACAUCGGAACGUGCCCUGUAGUGGGGGAUAACUAGUCGAAAGAUUAGCUAAUACCGCAUACGACCUGAGGGUGAAAGUGGGGGACCGCAAGGCCUCAUGCUAUAGGAGCGGCCGAUGUCUGAUUAGCUAGUUGGUGAGGUAAAGGCUCACCAAGGCGACGAUCAGUAGCUGGUCUGAGAGGACGAUCAGCCACACUGGGACUGAGACACGGCCCAGACUCCUACGGGAGGCAGCAGUGGGGAAUUUUGGACAAUGGGGGCAACCCUGAUCCAGCAAUGCCGCGUGUGUGAAGAAGGCCUUCGGGUUGUAAAGCACUUUUGUCCGGAAAGAAAUCGCACUUACUAAUAUUAGGUGUGGAUGACGGUACCGGAAGAAUAAGGACCGGCUAACUACGUGCCAGCAGCCGCGGUAAUACGUAGGGUCCAAGCGUUAAUCGGAAUUACUGGGCGUAAAGUGUGCGCAGGCGGUUGUGCAAGACCGAUGUGAAAUCCCCGGGCUUAACCUGGGAAUUGCAUUGGUGACUGCACGGCUAGAGUGUGUCAGAGGGGGGUAGAAUUCCACGUGUAGCAGUGAAAUGCGUAGAGAUGUGGAGGAUACCGAUGGCGAAGCAGCCCCCUGGGAUAACACUGACGCUCAUGCACGAAAGCGUGGGGANNNAACAGGAUUAGAUACNNUGGUAGUCACGCCCUAAACGAUGUCAACUAGUUGUGGGGAUUCAUUUCUUAGUAACGUAGCUAACGCGUGAAGUUGACCGCCUGGGGAGUACGGUCGCAAGAUUAAAACUCAAAGGAAUUGACGGGGACCCGCACAAGCGGUGGAUGAUGUGGAUUUAAUUCGAUGCAACGCGAAAAACCUUACCUACCCUUGACAUGCCACUAACGAAGCAGAGAUGCAUUAGGUGCUCGAAAGAGAAAGUGGACACAGGUGCUGCAUGGCUGUCGUCAGCUCGUGUCGUGAGAUGUUGGGUUAAGUCCCGCAACGAGCGCAACCCUUGUCUCUAGUUGCUACGAAAGGGCACUCUAGAGAGACUGCCGGUGACAAACCGGAGGAAGGUGGGGAUGACGUCAAGUCCUCAUGGCCCUUAUGGGUAGGGCUUCACACGUCAUACAAUGGUGCAUACAGAGGGUUGCCAAGCCGCGAGGUGGAGCUAAUCCCAGAAAAUGCAUCGUAGUCCGGAUCGUAGUCUGCAACUCGACUACGUGAAGCUGGAAUCGCUAGUAAUCGCGGAUCAGCAUGCCGCGGUGAAUACGUUCCCGGGUCUUGUACACACCGCCCGUCACACCAUGGGAGUGGGUUUUGCCAGAAGUAGUUAGCCUAACCGCAAGGGGGGCGAUUACCACGGCAGGGUUCAUGACUGGGGUGAAGUCGUAACAAGGUA